CAAUUUCAAUUAGAGAAAGACGAAGAGAAGAACUGGAUUCAUAUCUGAGGAUUUGGCGUCACUUUGAAAGAAUUGCUGAAAAAAGAAGAGUUCAGCAAUGAAUACUUUGAGGUUUGUGAUUCUAUGUUUCAGUUUGUAGGAACUAGCUGAAACCGAAAACCUCCACAUAAUGAAGAUGAAGAUGAGCCGGAAACAGCGAAGUAGGAAAAUCAAGAUUCUGUAACAUGUUCAUAGUCUAUUGAACUAUUUCUAAUAAUCAACAUUUAAUCUUUUGAUCA